GCCACAAAACUAUUGCAGAUUGAAGCCUUCUCUCUCUCUCAUCCCUUAGAGCAAACGAAGUGGUUGCUGCGAAACCCUAGCCGCAUACAGAGAAUAAAGUAGAGUAGGAGAACAAAAGCAAUUGCUGCGAAAACCCCAAGCUUUUUCAGAGACAAAAGCGUGGAAAUAGAAUCUCCCAUAAUAAACAGAGACUAGAUCACAAAUGGGUUGAGACUCGAAAGGGCUGAGAGACAUGCCCCCGCAGUCUUCAGGUUGUUUACUUGGAAGUUUUGAUGGCAUGAGUGGAGUUGGAAAAAAAUAAAAUAAGAACAAAUGCAAUAAGGGUUAUGCAUUCAUCAAUCUGACUGAACCUGUCUCUGUUAUCCCCUUCUAUCAGGUUUUUAAUAGAAUGCAAUGGGUAGAGUUUAACUGUAGAAGAAAUGCAGCAAUUUCUUAUGUUAAGAUGUAGGGAAAAGCUGCACUCGAAGCCCACCAGCAUGGUCAAACUUGAAGACUGGGGAUAAGCAUGUGAUCAGAGUCUGUUGAACACAUUUUCAGCUUAGGCGUCAUCUUAUUGCAAUGAGUGACAAAAAAACUGUACCUUCACAGAAAUGGAAAACACUUGGAAAACAUAAUCAAUGAAGAGCCUAAGUUGAAAAAGAUGAUCGGGUUGAUCGAUGAAAGUUUGCUAAGCUCGGGAUGUUAAAAGAAGAAAGGACGUCCAUUGUUCUCAAGCACCAUUGGAGAGAACAAAAUUCUGUCUUAAAGACACAAUGUUUAAACACUGGCCUCAAUCACAAACUCAGAAGUACUGUAAGCUUUAAUUAUGUUGUUUCCUUUAUUUAUUUUAUUUGCUUUAAUUAAUUAUUGCCGAAAUUAUCUCCAACAAUUUUAAGACAGAAUUUCUAUACUGUUUUCUGUAUUACAGUAUUGAUUUUUCAGUUAAAAUUAAUUUUUAGCAAAUUUCUAUUCUUAUAUACGACGUAUUAGAAGUUUGGGUUUUUAUUGUUUGGUUUAUUUAUUACACAUUUGUUUACUAAUAUUUACUCGAAUAUGUAUUUGAGUAUAACUCUUUUUCGGUUCAAUUUUGGUUUUAAGUUU